GGAAUUUUCCGCAAUGGGCGGAAGCCUGACGGAGCAACGCCGCGUGAGGGAUGAAGGCCUCUGGGCUGUAAACCUCUUUUAUCAAGGAAGAAGAUCUGACGGUACUUGAUGAAUAAGCCACAGCUAAUUCCGUGCCAGCAGCCGCGGUAAUACGGGAGUGGCAAGCGUUAUCCGGAAUUAUUGGGCGUAAAGCGUCCGCAGGCGGCCUCGUAAGUCUGUCGUUAAAGCGUGGAGCUUAACUCCAUUUCAGCGAUGGAAACUGUGAGGCUUGAGUGUGGUAGGGGCAGAGGGAAUUCCCGGUGUAGCGGUGAAAUGCGUAGAUAUCGGGAAGAACACCAGUGGCGAAGGCGCUCUGCUGGGCCAUAACUGACGCUCAUGGACGAAAGCCAGGGGAGCGAAAGGGAUUAGAUACCCCUGUAGUCCUGGCCGUAAACGAUGAACACUAGGUGUCGGGGGAAUCGACCCCCUCGGUGUCGUAGCCAACGCGUUAAGUGUUCCGCCUGGGGAGUACGCACGCAAGUGUGAAACUCAAAGGAAUUGACGG
rnacentral:rRNA from 1 species